rnacentral:rRNA from 1 species
UACACUCCUACGGGAGGCAGCAGUAGGGAAUCUUCGGCAAUGGGGGCAACCCUGACCGAGCAACGCCGCGUGAGUGAAGAAGGUUUUCGGAUCGUAAAGCUCUGUUGUAAGUCAAGAACGAGUGUGAGAGUGGAAAGUUCACACUGUGACGGUAGCUUACCAGAAAGGGACGGCUAACUACGUGCCAGCAGCCGCGGUAAUACGUAGGUCCCGAGCGUUGUCCGGAUUUAUUGGGCGUAAAGCGAGCGCAGGCGGUUUGAUAAGUCUGAAGUUAAAGGCUGUGGCUCAACCAUAGUUCGCUUUGGAAACUGUCAAACUUGAGUGCAGAAGGGGAGAGUGGAAUUCCAUGUGGAGCGGUGAAAUGCGUAGAUAUAUGGAGGAACACCGGUGGCGAAAGCGGCUCUCUGGUCUGUAACUGACGCUGAGGCUCGAAAGCGUGGGGAGCGAACAGGAUUAGAUACCCGUGUAGUCCC